rnacentral:snoRNA from 1 species
AACCCAUGGUAAGGGCACCUUCUCAAUAGGUCCUUGUAUCUCUCCUAUGCAUCAUAUAAUGUUUCUAAAUCCAUCUGCACAAAAGAGGAGAUAUCAUUUCUUAAUUU